UUUUUAUUACAGGUUGACCUCGGAUCAGGUAGGGAUACCCGC
rnacentral:rRNA from 1 species